GAUGGUGCAUCAGUCCAUUGCAGAAUUCUGUUUUCAGACAGAGGAAAACUUUAUAUUGAAGGGUCCAAGAAAAAGCACUAGUGAGACUGACAAAGAUGGCCUCUGUAAAGGAAGCUGAAGACCACUUUCUUGGACCUCAUUGCACCAACUUCUGUCAUACUUGACUUUUCAGCAGAUGUAGUGAAUUUCAUAGCAACACCUACAAAAUAAGGUUUGAUGCAUUAAUUUCCUUUGCAGAGAAACAGUGAUGGUGGUAUCAAAUGCCACAUUCAUCAAUAAAAU